rnacentral:rRNA from 1 species
GUAGGGAAUAUUGGGCAAUGGUCGGAAGACUGACCCAGCCAUGCAGCGUGCAGGAAGACGGCCCUCUGGGUUGUAAACUGCUUUUAUCUGGGAAGAAAAAGGCCAUGCGUGGCAAAUUGCCGGUACCAGAUGAAUAAGCACCGGCUAACUCCGUGCCAGCAGCCGCGGUAAUACGGAGGGUGCGAGCGUUGUCCGGAUUUAUUGGGUUUAAAGGGUGCGUAGGCGGCUGAUUAAGUCAGCGGUGAAAGACUUCGGCUUAACCGGAGCAGUGCCGUUGAUACUGGUUGGCUUGAGUGUCGGAGGGGUACAUGGAAUUGAUGGUGUAGCGGUGAAAUGCAUAGAUACCAUCAGGAACACCGAUAGCGAAGGCAUUGUACUGGCCGACAACUGACGCUGAUGCACGAAAGUGUGGGGAUCGAACAGGAUUAGAUACCCCAGUAGUCC